rnacentral:rRNA from 1 species
AACGCUGGCGGCGUGCCUAAUACAUGCAAGUCGAGCGAACGGACGAGAAGCUUGCUUCUCUGAUGUUAGCGGCGGACGGGUGAGUAACACGUGGAUAACCUACCUAUAAGACUGGGAUAACUUCGGGAAACCGGAGCUAAUACCGGAUAAUAUUUUGAACCGCAUGGUUCAAAAGUGAAAGACGGUCUUGCUGUCACUUAUAGAUGGAUCCGCGCUGCAUUAGCUAGUUGGUAAGGUAACGGCUUACCAAGGCAACGAUGCAUAGCCGACCUGAGAGGGUGAUUGGCCACACUGGAACUGAGACACGGUCCAGACUCCUACGGGAGGCAGCAGUAGGGAAUCUUCCGCAAUGGGCGAAAGCCUGACGGAGCAACGCCGCGUGAGUGAUGAAGGUCUUCGGAUCGUAAAACUCUGUUAUUAGGGAAGAACAUAUGUGUAAGUAACUGUGCACAUCUUGACGGUACCUAAUCAGAAAGCCACGGCUAACUACGUG